UACGAAGGGGGCUAGCGUUGCUCGGAAUCACUGGGCGUAAAGGGCGCGUAGGCGGCCUUGUAAGUUGGGGGUGAAAGCCCGUGGCUCAACCACGGAAUUGCCUUCGAUACUGCUUGGCUUGAGACCGGAAGAGGUGAGUGGAACUGCGAGUGUUGAGGUGAAAUUCGUAGAUAUUCGCAAGAACACCAGUGGCGAAGGCGGCUCACUGGUCCGGAUCUGACGCUGAGGCGCGAAAGCGUGGGGAGCAAACAGG
rnacentral:rRNA from 1 species